GUUAAUUGUUGCAUGAAUUUCUACCCUCCUUGCUUUUAACAAUCACACCUCACUCACAUGGAACUUCCAAUUUUAAUUUAAGUCUUGACUCUAUGCAAACCUUCUCAUGGCUAAAACAAUGAAAAGCCAAUGAAGAAGAAAAACAAGCCCAUACCAGCCCAAGAGUCAAAAAUAUCAUAUUUUUCUAGAUCCUCCUCGUUGGUUAUAGUCGUGCUUGAUAAGAUUUGCUCUCAGUAGCAUUGAUCGGAC
rnacentral:misc_RNA from 1 species